rnacentral:tRNA from 1 species
UGGCUCAGUUGGUAGAGAGAGCAUGGCACUUGGAACGCCACGGCUGUGGGUUCGAUUCCCAC